rnacentral:lncRNA from 1 species
CGCCGUCUCAGUACUGUACUGCAUCCAUAUCGAUACCAUCCUAGUAUGAUUUUAUUAUAUUUAGUAUUAAAAGCAUUCAAUGGAUAAUACCCAACCAAUCCCUCGUAUCUAUUGCUAUGAUACUCUCAAUAUUGUAGAGAAACAUGCCAUCUUGAUUGGAGACUACCGCGACUAAGCGGCAAGACAACUGAUAUUCUUGGGCAC